GCAAAGGCGGUUUCAAACAACUAAUCAAACACGUUGGUUUUCUUUCCCUCUCUUCUCAUCUCCCACCUCUCUUUAUCUUCCCUCUCUCUAAUAACCCAACAUCUCGCAUUCAUUCCUUGGGCUUUUAAGGCACCAAAAUACAACCGAAAACGUAACCAAAACAACAAUCAGCCGACAGUGGGCAUCCAAAAAAGCCAACAAGAUCGAUAGACAAGCAAACAACUGCAGGCAACAUGGUCGGAUGCCAUGGUAAAAAAGACAUAUAAGAAUUGCGCUGUGUACGGCCGAAACUCACCGGCAACAUCAACAAAACAACCAUCUCGCUCUGUUCCUCUCUCUGGAAACUUAUAGGUUACAGUGAAAAGUGAAAGAGGAUUUAAGGAUGAAAACCUCGAAGAUCGAGUUCACGUUCGCGAAGAGCGUUGAAGAAGUGAGGGCUUUUCCGUAUCAAAUCGGCUGAAAGUCUCACCAUUUUCAUUUUGAGAAGGAAUUUGGGAAAAUUUGGGUUUGUUAUGGCGGAGAUCUGAGAUAUAGUUAGGGCAAAUUUUGAGAGGGAGUUCAAAAUUUUGGGAGGGAAUUAAUAAUUAGGGGAAAAUUUGAGAGGGAUUUGAAUAAGGAUGGAAAUGGAUCGGGUUCGGGUUGGGUAUUAGUAAUCCCAUAUCCAUACCCGCUAGUAAAAAUGUGUCUCAUACCCGACGCAAUACCCGUCGGGUAUUUGUCGGGUAAUUACCCGUCGGAUAUCGGGUAUACACGUGGAUAUCGGGUAUACCCAUUAAUUUGUUAAAAGAUAUAUGUUGGGGUUUCUAAAAUACAUUUCUUUUACU
rnacentral:lncRNA from 1 species